rnacentral:miRNA from 1 species
ACGCCUGAUACUAGGCUCUUACCA